GAUGAACGCUAGCUACAGGCUUAACACAUGCAAGUCGAGGGGUAGCAGGGUAGCAAUACCGCUGACGACCGGCGCACGGGUGAGUAACACGUAUCCAACCUUCCCAUCACUCGGGGAUAGCCUUUCGAAAGAAAGAUUAAUACCCGAUAGUACUUUUUUGAGGCAUCUUAAGAAAGUUAAAGAUUUAUUGGUGAUGGAUGGGGAUGCGUUCCAUUAGAUUGUUGGUGAGGUAACGGCUCACCAAGUCUUCGAUGGAUAGGGGUUCUGAGAGGAAGGUCCCCCACAUUGGUACUGAGACAGGGACCAGACUCCUACGGGAGGCAGCAGUAAGGAAUAUUGGACAAUGGUGGCAACACUGAUCCAGCCAUGCCGCGUGAAGGAUGAAGGCCCUAUGGGUUGUAAACUUCUUUUGUACGGGAAAAAACCUUCUUACGUGUAAGAAGCUGAUUGUACUGUAAGAAUAAGGAUCGGCUAACUCCGUG
rnacentral:rRNA from 1 species